rnacentral:rRNA from 1 species
UACGUAGGGUGCAAGCGUUAAUCGGAAUUACUGGGCGUAAAGCGUGCGCAGGCGGUGAUGUAAGACAGUUGUGAAAUCCCCGGGCUCAACCUGGGAACUGCAUCUGUGACUGCAUUGCUGGAGUGCGGCAGAGGGGGAUGGAAUUCCGCGUGUAGCAGUGAAAUGCGUAGAUAUGCGGAGGAACACCGAUGGCGAAGGCAAUCCCCUGGGCCUGCACUGACGCUGAGGAACGAAAGCGUGGGGAGCGAACAGG